rnacentral:rRNA from 1 species
UGGGUAUCCCUACAUAGCGGGUGGGACCCACGGCGAAUGGUUACUAACGUCUUCAAAAAAGAAUAUAUACGAUUGCAUUGCAUAUACUAACGGAUGCGAUCAUACCAGCACUAAUGCACCGGAUCCCAUCAGAACUCCGCAGUUAAGCGUGCUUGGGCGAGAGUAGUACUAGGAUGGGUGACCUCCCGGGAAGUCCUCGUGUUGCAUCCCUCUUUUAUGUUUAACC